UGAAAUACAUGCCAGGAGUAAAGGAA
rnacentral:piRNA from 1 species